rnacentral:rRNA from 1 species
UUUAUUAGAUAAAAAGCCAGUUCAUGCUUUUACAGUAUGAAAAUUGGUGAUUUAUAAUAACUUAGCAAAUCGCAAAGUGAAAACAGGCGAUAAAUCAUUCAAGUUUCUGACCUAUCAGCUUUCGACGGUAUGGUAUUGGCUUACCGUGGCAGUGACGGUUAACGGGGGAUUAGGGUUCGAUUCCGGAGAGGGAGCCUGAGAAACGGCUACCACAUCUAAGGAAGGCAGCAGGCGCGCAAAUUACCCAAUUCUAACAGUUUGAGAGAGGUAGUAACAAGAAAUAACAAUACAAGGCAGUUAAAAUGCUUUGUAAUUGGAAUGAUAGAAAUUUAAACCCUUUUUAAAGUAUCAAUUGGAGGGCAAGUCUGGUGCCAGCAGCCGCGGUAAUUCCAGCUCCAAUAGCGUAUAUUAAAAUUGUUGCAGUUAAAAAGCUCGUAGUUGAAGUUCUGCUGAAAGUAACCGGUCUGCUUUUAAUAAAAGUGGUAUCUUGGUAUGUAUUUAGCAAUGAUGUCCUUUGAAGUGUUUUUUACUUUAUUGUAAUAAAGCAUAUUCAGGACUUUUACUUUGAGAAAAUUAGAGUGUUUCUAGCAGGCUGACGCUUUGAAUACUGCAGCUG